AAAUUUGAAAUCUGGCCUUACGGUCCGAAUUGUAAUUUGUAGAGGAUGCUUUGGGCGCGGUGCCUUCCGAGUUCCUUGGAACAGGACGCCUUAGAGGGUGAGAGCCCCGUACGGUUGGACACCAAGCCUAUGUAAAGCUCCUUCGACGAGUCGAGUAGUUUGGGAAUGCUGCUCUAAAUGGGAGGUAAAUUUCUUCUAAAGCUAAAUACCGGCCAGAGACCGAUAGCGCACAAGUAGAGUGAUCGAAAGAUGAAAAGUACUUUGAAAAGAGGGUUAAAUAGCACGUGAAAUUGUUGAAAGGGAAGCAUUUAUGACCAGACCUUUGCUAGGCGGAUCAUCCGGUGUUCUUCACCGGUGCACUUCGUCUAGCUUAGGCCAGCAUCGAUUUCUGUAGGGGGAUAAAGGUCUAGGGAACGUAGCUCUCUCCGGAGAGUGUUAUAGCCCUAGGCGCAAUACCUUUACGGGGAUCGAGGUUCGCGCUUCGGCAAGGAUGCUGGCAUAAUGGUCAUCAAUGACCCGUCUUGAAACACGGACCAAGGAGUCGAACAUUUAUGCGAGUGUUUGGGUGUUAAACCCUCACGCGUAAUGAAAGUGAACGGAGGUGAGAGCCCUUAAGGGUGCAUCAUCGACCGAUCCUGAUGUCUUCGGAUGGAUUUGAGUAAGAGCAUAACUGUUCGGACCCGAAAGAUGGUGAACUAUGCGUGGAUAGGGUGAAGCCAGAGGAAACUCUGGUGGA
rnacentral:rRNA from 1 species